GACGAACGCUGGCGGCGUGCUUAACACAUGCAAGUCGAACGAAGUGGCGAACGGGUGAGUAACGCGUAAUCAACCUGCCCUUCAGAGGGGGACAACAGUUGGAAAAGACUGCUAAACCCGCAUACGGACUGAGGGGAUUGCGUCUGAUUAGCUAGUUGGAGGGGUAAAGGCCCACAAAGGAGAUGAUCAGUAGCCGGUCUGAGAGGAUGAACGGCCACAUUGGGACUGAGACAAGGCCCAGACUCCCACGGGAGGCAGCAGUGGGGAAUCGUCCGCAAUGGACGAAAGUCCGACGGAGCAACGCCGCGUGAGUGAUGACGGCCUUCGGGUUGGAAAGCUCUGUUAAUCGGGACGCGGUACCGGAAUAGAAAGCCACGGCUAACUACGUGCCAGCAGCCGCGGUAAUAC
rnacentral:rRNA from 1 species